GUCCUCUUGAUUUUUUAUGAGGUUUGACCUGCCCAGUGAAUUAUAUUUUAACGGCCGCGGUAUUUUGACCGUGCAAAGGUAGCAUAAUCAUUAGCUUUUUAAUAGAGGGCUGGAAUGAAGGGUUUAACGAAACAUUAGCUGUCUCAUUUAUAUAUUUUAAAAUUUAAUUUUUAAGUUAAAAAGCUUAAAUUUUAUUGUAGGACGAGAAGACCCUAUAGAGCUUUACAUUCAAAUUUUUGGUGUUUUUUUGUUUGAUAAAUUUAUAUUAAAAUUUUUAUGUUUAAUUGGGGUGAUUAAAUUAUAUGAUAAACUUUUUUAUUUUUAAAACAAAAAUUAUUGAUUGUUUGAUCCAUUAUUAUUGAUUAAUAGAUUAAGUUACCUUAGGGAUAACAGCGUAAUCUUUUUUUGGAGUUCAAAUUUACAAAAAGGCUUGCGACCUCGAUGUUGGAUUAAGAUGAUAAUUUGGUGUAGUAGCUAUAUUAAUAGGUCUGUUCGACCUUUAAAUUCUUACAUGAUCUGAGUUCAGACCGG
rnacentral:rRNA from 1 species